UACGUAGGGUGCGAGCGUUAAUCGGAAUUACUGGGCGUAAAGUGUGCGCAGGCGGCAGAGCAAGUCGAGUGUGAAAGCCCCGGGCUUAACUUGGGAAUUGCGCUCGAAACUACUUUGCUGGAGUAUGGCAGAGGAAGGUGGAAUUCCACGUGUAGCGGUGAAAUGCGUAGAGAUGUGGAGGAACACCAAUGGCGAAGGCAGCCUUCUGGGCCAACACUGACGCUCAUGCACGAAAGCGUGGGGAGCAAACAGG
rnacentral:rRNA from 1 species